GCAAGGAUCAGAGGCCUCAUGAGGGAGAGGGGCGUCGCGAAGACCCCUGGGUGCAGCUGGAUUCAGGUUUGCAGCGAGGUCCAUGAAUUCCGCUCCGGGGAUGCCCUCCACCGCGAGUCCGCGGAGAUCCGCCGGACGAUCGACGCCCUGAGCCAGGAGAUGGAGCUGGAAGGUUACGUGCCGGACGCCGAUUUGGCGUAGGGAGAACGAGUGAAUCGAAAUGAACAUUUCCAUCACUGUACAGAAAAAGGAGCAAGCGAGAGGAAGUAGAGGAGUCCCGAUCAAUCCUUGGCAGGCAGCUGUCUCUGACCGACGCCGUUCCGCGGACAUAUCCCCGCCCCGGUUCUCAUCGUGGCCGUCCUCGGGGGACAGCCAUUCGCCUUGCGGAGAAUUUUUGGCUGUGCCCUGAGAGCUUCGGACUCGAUUCCCUCCCCGUGCGUCCUCAUCUACAACGGCGCACCCAUCUGGGAGAGGAGGGAUAUCCUCUGGGCAACGGCGGCCCCCCCCUGUCACCACCAACCGGAGGGAAGAGGAUCCUUACACUGUCCGCCCAAGCCCCCAGGAUGGCGCUGGCCGUGGCGAUCGGAAUAUACGGGCCUGCUGUUUUCCUGCUAAACAUAAAUAGAGAAGAUAGAUCGGUGGUUAACGUGCUGGGGUUCUUCUCACGCCUUUGUUAACAUCGUCGGAGUACGAAAAUGGGAGCGCCGAAGUACGCGCCCCCGAAGGAUGCAGCCGGAGCACACGAAAGAGCCUCUACGUUAAUCUCAUCCACGUCAGAUGUGGGGGCGUCUGUUCUAGCAGCAGUCCCUCCAUGGCGCCCAUAAUCGCAUCCUUCUUGACAACGCCCCAACAUGUGGGACGAUGUCUACUCGGCAGCUUUUGGGGGCCGCCUCGGGAAAAAGGUCCUGCCUUGCUGGCCAGCUCCCCAUCCGCAUCCCGCAGGCAGCCCGCCAUGCAGGUUCGCAGAGAGCCCAGCUCUCCCUCGCGUGCACAGAACGGCGCCGUCUUCCUCGCCUCGGCGAACUGGCACACGAGGAGGAAGAGGGGGAGGAUCAACAGGAGCUCGACGGGGGCGGUGCGGGAGGAUCCGGCCUCCACUCAACCCCGAGGAGAUGGAUAGAUAUCUCGGCGCCAGCAGGCUACGGAGAUGAAGAUGCCCUUUUCGUUCUGUUCGGAUCGAAAGAAAGGGAAGGGGGGGAGGGAGAUGGCUUAGAAAAUAUCCCUGUGGUCGUCGAUCCGGCCAUGCAGCGGGGCCGGGCUUUUGGAGGAGGGGCGUAGUUUAGGUUAUC
rnacentral:lncRNA from 1 species